GAGUAAUGGGUUUGGGCCGUGGCCCAAUUUCUUUCGCUUCUCAGUUGGGCCGUCGUUUCGGUAACAAGUUUUCGUAUUGUUUAAUGGAUUACACUCUCUCUCCGCCGCCGACGAGCUACCUCAUCAUCGGCGACGGCGGUGGCGGAGCUCGAUCCAAGCUUCUAUUCACUCCGUUGCUCACGAAUCCAUUCUCUCCGACGUUUUACUACAUCCGAUUGAAAUCAGUUUCCGUCAACGGCGCGAAGUUACGAAUCCAUCCUUCCGUUUGGGAAAUCGACGGUUCAGGUAACGGCGGAACCGUCGUGGAUUCCGGCACCACCCUCGCGUUUUUAGCUGAUCCUUCGUAUCGACUGGUGAUCGCGACUGUGAGACGACGGAUCCGACUCCCGAUUGCGGCGGAGAUGACUCCGGGAUUCGAUCUGUGCGUUAACGUCUCCGGCGUUUCGAAACCGGAGAAGUUCAUGCCGAGGUUGAAAUUCGAGUUCGCCGGCGGUGCGGUGUUCGUUCCUCCGCCGAGGAAUUACUUCAUCGAGACGGAGGAGCAUGUUCAGUGUCUGGCGAUUCAAUCGGUGAACCCGAAGGUUGGAUUCUCGGUGAUCGGGAAUUUGAUGCAGCAAGGGUUCUUGUUUGAGUUCGAUAGGGAUAGAUCACGGCUUGGUUUUUCUCCUCGUGGUUGCGCUUUGCCGUGAUGAUUCGCCGGAAUAUUUCGUUUCGAGGAUUUUUUGUUUUUUUUUUAAAUCGUUUUCACUUCUUUUUUUAUCCUCUUGAAAGUACUGGGAGACGGUUCACUGUUACCGAAUAUAGGAAUAAAAAUAAUGUUUUUUGGAGUUUGUAUUAUUUCGUAUUUGAUCGGAGAAAUUUCGUCUUUACCAAUUUUAUGAUACCGUUUUUCAUUUUUACUACUGCUAUAACAUUUUCAAAAAUAUAUUUUUUAUUAAGUAGCAAAAAAUUAUUAUACUAUUAUUAUCUAUAUACUAGCUUUUGAUCCGCACACCUUCGUGGAUAUGCUUUUCAAAAAAAUUAUAGUUUAUAUCAACAUGUGAUAAUAUAGAUACAUAAAUUUUACCAUAUUACUUUUGUGUUUUAUAUUGGAUCAUCCAUAUAUUAUAUUUUUUUCUUGGGCAAUUUUCUUAAAUUGUUUUUUUUUAAGUUUUUGUCACAAAAAUAACCUUAAAAAAAAAUGACCGAAAUAGUUUUUUUUUUUAUUUUGAAAAUUUUAAUAUUUAUUUUUUAAUUUUAAAAAUUUGAAACCAUAUCCCUAAAACUCAACCUCUUAACUCUAAACUCUAAGUCUAGAUUAGUUAACCAUAGGGUAAAAUACAUUUUUACCUUUUAAUAAAACUUAUUUUGGUCAUUUUCUUCAUUGAGGGCUAUUUUUGUGACAAAAACUUAAAAAAUACUAUUCUAGGAAAUUUCUCUUUUUUCUUUGAACACAUAUUAUGUGUGUUUACAAAUCUUCUAAAUUCAUAUAUUUGUAUCAAUAACCACAAAAAACAUUUUUCUUAUAGAAAAUUUAUUAUUGUUUGGAAAAAAUGAUUUGCAAAUGUUUUGUUUCUAAUUACUUUUUAUACAAGAAAAUCAUCAAAACAUGAAAAAAAUAUUAAACAUAUUUAUGUGAAUAAUAUAAAUGGAGAAUAAAUAAAUAAAUAUAUAUAUAGGAACCCUUAAUAAGAAAAAGAUGAAUCUUCAUGAAAUCAAUAUAUAGGCCAAGAUUGGGCUUAUAUGUUGACUAAUGCUAAAUCAAAUGCCCUAUGAUCUUUUUUUGAUACGAUGACUACGUAAAAAUAGGAAAAAAGAAAUUAGGAUGUUGUUUUGUUUUCGAAGAAACAAAUAAUUAGUUAUGAUCUUCUGUUGUUAAUAGUGAUUGUGUGAAAUUAGGAAUCAUUUUUUGAAUGGUAGUGAGUUGUGGAAGGAAAAUAGCAUAUUUAGUUUAGAUUUUGUACACAAAAUAAUCGAAAAUACACCAAACAAUAAAUUUGCUAAACCAUAAAUUAGGAAAAUAUCAUAUUUAUUUUCAAUUUUGUACACAGAAAAAAUGAAAAAUUCACAAAACCAUUAAUUUGCUAAACCAUAAAUUAGCUAAACCAAACCUCGAUUAUAUCUAUAUACACAAUGUUGGUAUGCAUAAUCUAAACAAAUAUAGUCAGAAUAUAAAUUGGCUAAAAUAUAAAACCAUAAACUAAAUAUUGAUUAGAUUAUGGUUAAGAAAUCUUGAUCCGGAUCCGGCUUCGACGGAUCCAACAUUUUACUAUCCGGAUCCGGAUACGACCCCUUCGGAAUUUCUUUUUUUUAUUCAAAUUGAUUUACAGUAAAAAGUUGGCAAAUCAAAAAUGACAAAAUAUAUGCAGAAUUCGGUUUUAGUAGGUUCUUACAAUAAUGAUAUUUUCCUAAGCCGCAUAAAAAUAUUUCAUAUUCAUCCGUAAGAAAAAAAAAUAUGAACUCGACGCGUAGCGCCGGAAUACCACUAAUAAAACAAAGCAAAAGAGCCUUCAUGCUUCCAUGUAUUAUUUAUCUAGGCGAUACAUUUGGUAACAAUUAAUGGAGGAACAAAGCUUGAACCUUUGAGAGUCUGCUCAAAUAUGUGACCCAUUUUCAGCAAACAAACCAAUAACAGAAAUAUCACUAAAUCAUCACUUGUUCUUAAUCAAAUCUUGAGUUUAAGCAAAGAUUUAAAUAACAAACCUCAUCAAAGACUGCACCGAUCAUUUCAAGACCAACGGGUUGACCAGAGGGACCUCCUUGGCACUAGUCCACAUGGUAAUACAACCGCAGGAAGUCCUGUGAUAUUCACAUUCACUACAAUAAACAAUCUCAUGUCAUUACAAACUAAUGUUUUGUGCUACUGAAAGAGAGACAAAACACUUCUUACCGUCAUUAUGUCUCCAACAUACAUUGCAAAUUAAUGGAUCAUCUUUCUUUUCACCAAAAUCUUGUAAGCAGCAGAUGGAGCUGCUGGAGAGAUAAGGAUAUCAUUGUGAUCUAACGCAGCUUUGUAGUCUUUUCGAAUGAGUGUUCUCGCCUAUAUUAACACCAAGUAAAACAUAUUAGUCACUAAUCCAAACCGGUUAAGUUUCUAUUACGUUAACCUGUUGAGCUCGCUUGUAGUAUAUGCAUCGUAGUGACCAGCAGAGAGUGCAUAUGUUCCCAUUAAAGAAAUGCCUCAUGCAGUGAACAUGUGAAUCAAGUGACAAUACUGUGUUUAACUGAUACCAUCGUAACGUGACAAGUUUGAAGAUGAUUCAGAUGAGGCAAGCACAUAAAAGGCUGGUACUCCAAGAGAGAAGAAAGGAAGAGAGACCUGACAAAAUGGCAACAGAAAUCGAUCUCAGACCUCAAUGUGUUUUAUACAAAGAAGUAAAGAACAUACAAAACGAAAUAAAAUGGAGACAAAGAGAAAACCUCCGUCAAUACACAACCCAAUGCUUCAAAGUGAGACGCAGCUUCCUGAGACAAAGAAAAGAUGCAUUCAGUUUCAAAGAAUACAAUACGAUGCACAAAACCAAACACAUAACAGGCCUUACAUGUGUGCUACUCUUGGAUUCAAAUCCUGAAAUAGCAUGAAGAAGCAACCGUGGAGCCAAAGCAACCAAUCACAUCCGAUCAAGAUGCAUUAAGCCAUAAGUAGGCUUGAGGCCAACAACACCACAAAGCGAAGCAGGGUGUCUAACACUUUCACCAGUGUCACUACCAAGAGACACCAUACAUAGUCUCGCUUCAACAGCUGCUGCUGAGCUUCCUGAUGAACCUCCCAGUACACGUGUCAAGUCCCAUUGAUUCGCAGUUACCUUUAAAACCAAAAUCAAACCUAAGAUCAACCCUUAAACUCAUCACACGUUAGCCAUCAAGAAAGGGUUAAGCUUUCUUCAUUUACAAGUUACCCAUCAAGAAAGACUUAAGCUUUCUUCAUAAACCUAACCUGAAAGGCAGAAGCUUCAUUUGUGCGUCCCAUUCCAAACUCAUCCAUAUUCGUCUUGCCAACAACAAUCCCUCUCACCUCCUUCACCCUCUUGGCCUCUUCAUCGAUGUUGCAUCUUUCACAAAAAUUGAGAGAGUUAUAAUUGGGCUGAAGUUAAACGAGUUAUAAUUAUUAAAGCCCAAUAAAUUGAAUUUAGUGACACUUUUAUUUUGUAGAAUUCGAAUGAAUAUUUUUCAAUGAAACACUUCCAAACAAUCCCAAAUGUUGAAAAUAGAAACGAUCCCAAAUAUUAAAUCUGAUAUUUUGGAAAAAAAAACACCAAGUUUAAUGCAGAACCUCUGAACUUUUGAUCACUUCUCCAUGAAAAUUAAUAUUUUCUUUGAUAUAUAGAAAACUAGUGACUUACAAAUUAAUAGUCUACAAAUUAGUAUUCUACAAAAGCUUCUCAAAGGUGUUCGUUUCGCUUUUAGAGUCCAUCAGGCAAAAGAAACACUAUUCAGACAAGAGAAGUUAAGAAUCUUAUGAAUAGGUUUCUCAACUGUUUUCACAUAUCUGUUUCUGAUAAUGUUUGUUCUACGAUGUAUUGAUGAAACUUGCAGUUUGCUGGAGGAUUUGAUGCCGAAAACAUGAAAGCAUUUGAAGAGCUUAGAGCAGAGACAAAACUGAAACUGGAGGAGACAAUAGUAAUAACAAUGAAGAAUCUGUAAACUGAGUUAAAAAAAAAUUUUAUGCUUUUCUACGUCUCUCUAUCGUUUUAUCACAUACUUGUCAAAUUAAAAUAAUUUAUAGUUACAGUGCAAUUUAUAGAUUAUUACUGUAAACGAAAGUUUGCAAAUUGCAAGUAUUUUGUUUUACAAUAUUUUAGAAAAUUAUUUCGCAAUAAAUUUGUAAUCUCCCAAACUACUGAAAAAGAUAAAAUAAUUGUGGUUUGUCUUUAAAGUCACAUGAUUCAUAUCAUGUGCAGCCAUGCAAAGUGUCGCUCGAAUCUUCUUCACUCUUUAAUGUAUAUUACAUUACUUAUUUUGUUAUAUAAAUUCAUACAAUAUAUAAACAGCUUGUUUCCAUGUCUAUUAACGUCCAGAAAUUUAAAAAUCAUUCACUAGAUUUUUGGUAUAUAUAGCAACAAGUGAUAGUAAAUUUUUUGUUAUUAUGUAAUCAUAUAAAUAAAUUAUCAACUUUUUAAUUUUUGGAAUUUAAGUACUUCUGAGUUCUGCCACCACCUAAUAAACAGGUCCAUUUCUUGCGUAUAGUACUUUUCACGUCCAAACAAGAUCUACAUAUUUAUUAUUAUUGUAUUGUAUAGUUAUUAAUUAUUGUCAUAAUAAUCAUUUAUAUCAUCCGACCUUCUAUAAUAAAUGAAAUAAAUUCACGGAUCUAAAGACCAAAGAUUACAAUUUACAAUCAUAGAAAACAACUAUACAUGUAACCUUUUAUAUUACUAAAAAAAAAUCAUUGUUUAGAAUCAUCACACACUUUUUUUUUUAAUCACACUACUUAAGUAUUAGUAAAAUAGUAAAGGAAAAUAAAGGAACAAAGAAACAAAUGCUUUUGCAAAAAAAAACACAUUUAGACAGCUAAGAGUUUAUUGCAAAAGCCAAAGCUUUCUUUUGAUUGCCCCCAAAACAUAAAUCUUUCUGUCUUCACGUUCCAUUGUAAUAAACAUUUCGACCACAAACUGACAAGAUCGUAUACUAAACACGUAUGUAAACCGUAUAUUAUACGGUCUUCUUCUUCAUCUCUUACAAAACACAGACAGCGAAAAACUCUUUCUUCCUCUCUCUCACUCUCUCUCUCUCUCUCAAUGUUCCAUCUCACCAUCCUCUGCUCUUUACUUUCUCUAUUCCUCCUCCCGCCGGCGAAUCUCGCCGCCGUGAGUGAUGACGAGUUCCUAAAGCUCCCGUUACUACGUAAAUCUCCGUUACCUUCUCCGACGCAAGCUCUCGCUUUAGACACUCGCCGUCUCCAUUUUCUCUCUCUCCGCCGUAAACCCAUCCCCUUCGUCAAAUCGCCGGUUGUCUCCGGCGCUUCUUCCGGGUCGGGUCAGUACUUCGUGGAUCUCCGAAUCGGCCAACCGCCUCAGUCUCUACUCCUAAUCGCCGAUACAGGAAGCGAUCUCGUUUGGGUGAAAUGCUCCGCUUGCCGGAACUGCUCUCUCCAUUCUCCCGCCACCGUCUUCUUCCCUCGCCACUCCUCCACAUUCUCUCCCACUCAUUGCUACGACCCGCUUUGUCGACUCGUGCCCGAACCGGUUCGGGCGCCGAAAUGUAACCAUACCCGGAUCCAUUCCACGUGUCAUUACGAGUACGCUUACGCGGACGGUUCAUUAACGUCCGGUCUAUUCGCUACAGAAACGACGACGUUGAAGACGAGCUCCGGUAGAGAGGCGUAUCUAAAAAGCGUUGCUUUCGGAUGCGGGUUUCGGAUCUCGGGUCAAAGCGUUUCGGGUGCGAGUUUUAAUGGAGCCCAUGGAGUAAUGGGUUUGGGCCGUGGCCCAAUUUCUUUCGCUUCUCAGUUGGGCCGUCGUUUCGGUAACAAGUUUUCGUAUUGUUUAAUGGAUUACACUCUCUCUCCGCCGCCGACGAGCUACCUCAUCAUCGGCGACGGCGGUGGCGGAGCUCGAUCCAAGCUUCUAUUCACUCCGUUGCUCACGAAUCCAUUCUCUCCGACGUUUUACUACAUCCGAUUGAAAUCAGUUUCCGUCAACGGC
rnacentral:lncRNA from 1 species